rnacentral:rRNA from 1 species
GGGAAUAUGGACAAUGGGCGAAAGCCUGAUCCAGCAAUGCCGCGUGAGGGAUGACGGCCUUCGGGUUGUAACCUCUUUCAGCAGGGCGAAGCGCAAGUGACGGUACCUGCAGAAGAAGCACCGGCCAACUACGUGCCAGCAGCCGCGGUAACACGUAGGGUGCGAGCGUUGUCCGGAAUUAUUGGGCGUAAAGGGCUCGUAGGCGGUUUGUCGCGUCGGGAGUGAAAACUCAGGGCUCAACCCUGUUCGUGCUUCCGAUACGGGCAAACUAGAGGUAGGCAGGGGAGAACGGAAUUCCUGGUGUAGCGGUGGAAUGCGCAGAUAUCAGGAGGAACACCGGUGGCGAAGGCGGUUCUCUGGGCCUAUUCUGACGCUGAGGAGCGAAAGCAUGGGGAGCGAACAGGAUUAGAUACCCUGGUAGUCCAUGCCGUAAACGUUGGGCGCUAGGUGUGGGACUCAUUCCACGAGUUCCGUGCCGCAGCUAACGCAUUAAGCGCCCCGCCUGGGGAGUACGGCCGCAAGGCUAAAACUCAAAGGAAUUGACGGGGGCCCGCACAAGCGGCGGAGCAUGCUGAUUAAUUCGAUGCAACGCGAAGAACCUUACCUGGGUUUGACAUAUAGGGAAAACUGCUGGAGACAGCAGGUCCGCAAGGGCUCUAUACAGGUGGUGCAUGGCUGUCGUCAGCUCGUGUCGUGAGAUGUUGGGUUAAGUCCCGCAACGAGCGCAACCCUCGUCCUAUGUUGCCAGCACGUUAUGGUGGGGACUCAUAGGAGACUGCCGGGGUCAACUCGGAGGAAGGUGGGGAUGACGUCAAGUCAUCAUGCCCCUUAUGUCCAGGGCUUCAAGCAUGCUACAAUGGCUGGUACAAAGGGCUGCGAAACCGCAAGGUGGAGCGAAUCCCAAAAAGCCAGUCUCAGUUCGGAUUGGGGUCUGCAACUCGACCCCAUGAAGUCGGAGUCGCUAGUAAUCGCAGAUCAGCAACGCUGCGGUGAAUACGUUCCCGGGCCUUGUACACACCGCCCGUCACGUCAUGAAAGUCGGCAACACCCGAAGCCGGUGGCCCAACCCUUGUGGAGGGAGCCGUCGA